AUUUGGAUUUUCCCUGCCCAUAUUUCCAUUUUCCCUCCCAUAUUUCCAUUUUCCCUGCCCAUAUUUCCAUUUUCCCUGCAAUAUUUCCAUUUCUCACCCCAUUCCGCAGGCUCGCUGCUGCGCCGCUGCCGCCCGGACGAGCGCCGCUGCCGGGAGCUGCUCGAGGCCUUCGCCGGCCAGCGCCGCCCCCCCUUCCCCUGGGCCAUGGGUGAGGAGCUGAGCCCCGCCCAGCGCCGCCAGCUGGCGCUCUACCUGGCCCAGCGGCACCUGCAGAACUUCGA
rnacentral:lncRNA from 1 species